GGGGAUGUAGCUUAGCGGUGUAGUGCCUGCCUGGCAAGCAUGAAGCUCUGAGUUCGAUUCCCAGUACCA
rnacentral:tRNA from 1 species